GACGAACGCUGGCGGCGUGCUUAACACAUGCAAGUCGAGCGGUAAGGCCCUUUCGGGGUACGACGAGCGGCGAACGGGUGGAGUAACACGUGGGUGACCUGCCCUCAGCUCUGGGAGUAAGCCUGGGAAACCGGGUCUAAUACCGGAUAUGACUCCAUGACGCAUGUUGGUGGGGUGGAAAGCCUUGUGCGGCUGAGGAUGGGCCCGCGGCCUAUCAGCUUGUUGGUGGGGUGAGGCCUACCAAGGCGACGACGGGUAGCCGGCC
rnacentral:rRNA from 1 species